rnacentral:rRNA from 1 species
UACGUAGGGGGCAAGCGUUGUCCGGAAUCAUUGGGCGUAAAGAGCGCGUAGGCGGUCCGGUAAGUCCGCUGUGAAAGUCAAGGGCUCAACCCUUGAAAGCCGGUUGAUACUGUCGGGCUAGAGUCCGGAAGAGGCGAGUGGAAUUCCCGGUGUAGCGGUGAAAUGCGCAGAUAUCGGGAGGAACACCAAUGGCGAAGGCAGCUCGCUGGGACGGUACUGACGCUGAGACGCGAAAGCGUGGGGAGCAAACAGG